rnacentral:rRNA from 1 species
GUCGAGAAUCUUUCACAAUGGGGGCAACCCUGAUGGAGCGACGCCGCGUGGAGGAUAAGGUCUUCGGAUUGUAAACUCCUGUCAUGCGUGAACAAGGUUGCUUGGUUAAUACCUGGGCAAAUUGAUGGUAACGCAAGAGGAAGAGACGGCUAACUCUGUGCCAGCAGCCGCGGUAAUACAGAGGUCUCAAGCGUUGUUCGGAAUCACUGGGCGUAAAGGGUGCGUAGGUGGCGUGGUAAGUCAGAUGUGAAAGCCCGGGGCUCAACCUGGGAACUGCAUCCGAUACUGCCAUGCUAGAGUACUGGAGAGGUGACUAGAAUUCUCGGUGUAGCAGUGAAAUGCGUAGAUAUCGAGAGGAAUACCAAAGGCGUAGGCAGGUCACUGGACAGUUACUGACACUGAGGCUCGAAGGCCAGGGGAGCAAAAGGGAUUAGAAACCCCGGUAGUCC